rnacentral:rRNA from 1 species
GAUGAACGCUGGCGGCGUGCCUAAUACAUGCAAGUCGAGCGAACAGACGAGGAGCUUGCUCCUCUGACGUUAGCGGCGGACGGGUGAGUAACACGUGGAUAACCUACCUAUAAGACUGGGAUAACUUCGGGAAACCGGAGCUAAUACCGGAUAACAUGUUGAACCGCAUGGUUCGACAGUGAAAGACGGUCUUGCUGUCACUUAUAGAUGGAUCCGCGCCGCAUUAGCUAGUUGGUAAGGUAACGGCUUACCAAGGCAACGAUGCGUAGCCGACCUGAGAGGGUGAUCGGCCACACUGGAACUGAGACACGGUCCAGACUCCUACGGGAGGCAGCAGUAGGGAAUCUUCCGCAAUGGGCGAAAGCCUGACGGAGCAACGCCGCGUGAGUGAUGAAGGUCUUCGGAUCGUAAAACUCUGUUAUUAGGGAAGAACAAAUGUGUAAGUAACUAUGCACGUCUUGACGGUACCUAAUCAGAAAGCCACGGCUAACUACGUG